UACGGAGGGUGCAAGCGUUAUCCGGAUUCACUGGGUUUAAAGGGUGCGUAGGUGGGCUGGUAAGUCAGUGGUGAAAUCUCCAGGCUUAGCUUGGAAACUGCCAUUGAUACUAUCAGUCUUGAAUACCGUGGAGGUCAGCGGAAUAUGUCAUGUAGCGGUGAAAUGCUUAGAUAUGACAUAGAACACCAAUUGCGAAGGCAGCUAGCUACACGAAUAUUGACACUGAUGCACGAAAGCGUGGGGAUCAAACAGG
rnacentral:rRNA from 1 species